rnacentral:rRNA from 1 species
CCUACGGGUGGCUGCAGUCGAGAAUCAUUCACAAUGGGGGAAACUCUGAUGGUGCGACGCCGCGUGGGGGAAUGAAGGUCUUCGGAUUGUAAACCCCUGUCAUGUGGGAGCAAAUUAGAAAGAGAGUACCACAAGAGGAAGAGACGGCUAACUCUGUGCCAGCAGCCGCGGUAAUACAGAGGUCUCAAGCGUUGUUCGGAAUCACUGGGCGUAAAGCGUGCGUAGGCUGUUUCGUAAGUCGUGGGUGAAAGGCGCGGGCUCAACGCGCGGACGGCACAUGAUACUGCGGAACUAGAGAGAUGGUGCGGGAAGCGGAAUGUACGGUGUAGCGGUGAAAUGCGUAGAGAUCG